CUUGAAAAAAGGUAAACCAAUCAUGAGGUUGUGACGCAAAGUCAUGGGUCUUCUGAAAGAAGAUUGCCGGGCUACCAAG
rnacentral:ncRNA from 1 species